UUUCCGUAGGUGAACCUGCGGAAGAAUCAUUACAGAGUUCAUGCCCUCACGGGCAGAUCUCCCACCCUUGAAUAUUUAUACCUUAGUUGCUUUGGCAGGCCGUGGAAACACCAUGGGCUCCGGCUUAUGCGUGCCUGCCAGAGGAAACAAACUCUGUUUUUAGUGAUGUCUGAGUACUAUAUAAUAGUUAAAACUUUCAACAACGGAUCUCUUGGUUCUG
rnacentral:misc_RNA from 1 species